CAAUUCAACAACCUGGUCCUAGGGAAGACCCAAAAUCCAAGAAAGUUGAAUACUUUAAAAGUUUCCCAAUGACUAUGAUUGCCGAACUCCUAGAGUGCAAAGAGGAGGGCAAAUUUAGGGUCAUGUGUGCUGUCUAUGCUAUUGAUACCAAAUUUGCUUUGUACUACUUUUUUUGUAUGAAGUGUACUAAAACAUGCUACAAAGUCCCUAAAGUUGAGAAUGAAGUUCUUAACAAAAACAAAAAGACUUUGUUUUCAUGUUCUGGGUGUAACGAAAACCACACCAAAGUUGAACCAAGGUACAGAGUGCUUUGUGUGUGAUGGAUACCACUGCACAGACCAAAUGUUUGUUGUUUGAGAAUGAUGCAAACUGUCUCAUAGAACAGUUCUCUGCAGCUUCUGGAUGGUCAUUUCGAUGAGAUAGAAGAUCCAACAAACAUCCCUCAAGAGAUAAGUAAUCUGGUCGGAAAAACUUUCUAUGUUGUGGAAAUUGGAAAGGAUAAUAUCAGAGAUGCAAGUGAUACAUACAAGGUUUGUCAUGCCUUUGUUGGUCUAGAAGUUGAGAAAGAUGAGACUAUUGAACAUUCAAUGGGUGAUGAUGAUUUAGCCACUCUUGUGAGUGCAAAUGAGGAAAUUGGAAUGGUGUCAAACAGUAGUGUUGCUGAUGAAGGACAAAUAACUCCUUCCACUACUCCAUCAUCAAAGAGGAAGGAUGAUGAUGCUGAUGAUUCUUCUAAUAAUUCAUCAUCUUCUAAGAAAGCAUGUUUGGAUGUAAUUCCUCUUGCAAUGGAUGGUCACAAUGAUGAAGAUGGACGAGCUGAUGGUUAAGGUUUGGUGAAGAAGAGUUUGGGAUAGGACAAAUCACUAAGUCGUCUAUUUUUUUUUUUUUGAAGUUUCAAGUUUUGGUAAAAUAAGCUUAGUUGUCUAAGCAUUGUUUCUGUUUUACAAUAUCUCGCUGUGAACCAUUGCAAAGUUUAUUUGGAGGUUUUAUA